GUGGGGAAUAACCCGGGGAAACCCGAGCUAAUACCGCAUAAUGCAGCGGCACCUAAUGGUGACUGCCGAUAAGAAGAGCAAUCCGCUUGAAGAGGAGCUUGCGGCAGAUUAGCUUGUUGGUAAGGUAACGGCUUACCAAGGCAACGAUCUGUAUCCGGUCUAAGAGGACGGUCGGACACACUGACACUGAAUAACGGGUCAGACUCCUACGGGAGGCAGCAGUCGGGA
rnacentral:rRNA from 1 species